rnacentral:snoRNA from 1 species
GGGGACCAUCCCGAAGCUAAGUUGGUGCCUGAUUCAAUCUUCCUAUAAAAACCUCUGUAAAUUCCAACUUGUAGUUCUGAAGCAAAGUCUGCAAGUCUCAACUUACUGAACAUUUGC